UACAGAGACUGCAAGCGUUAUUCGGAUUCACUGGGCGUAAAGGGUGCGCAGGUGGUCGUGUGUGUCAGAUGUGAAAUCCCAAAGCUUAACUUUGGAACUGCGUCGGAUACUGGAUGGCUUGAAUUCGGGAGAGGGAUGCAGAAUUCCAGGUGUAGCGGUGAAAUGCGUAGAUAUCUGGAGGAAUACCGGUGGCGAAGGCGGCAUCCUGGACCGACAUUGACGCUGAUGAGCGAAAGCUAGGGGAGCAAACGGG
rnacentral:rRNA from 1 species